rnacentral:rRNA from 1 species
AUUGAACGCUGGCGGCAGGCCUAACACAUGCACGUCGAACGAGUGGCGGACGGGUGAGUAAUGUCUGGGAAACUGCCUGAUGGAGGGGGAUAACUACUGGAAACGGUAGCUAAUACCGCAUACCAUCGGAUGUGCCCAGAUGGGAUUAGCUAGUAGGUGGGGUAAAGGCUCACCUAGGCGACGAUCCCUAGCUGGUCUGAGAGGAUGACCAGCCAAACUGGGACUGCGUACAGGUCCCAGCUCCUGCGGGAGGCCACAGGUGGGGAUAUUGCACAAGGGGCGCAAGCCUGAUGCAGCCAUGCCGCGUGUAUGAAGAAGGCCUUCGGGUUGUAAAGUACUUUCAGCGGGGAGGCGUUACCCGCAGAAGAAGCACCGGCUAACUCCGUGCCAGCAGCCGCGGUAAUUC